rnacentral:rRNA from 1 species
AACGAACGCUGGCGGCAUGCCUAACACAUGCAAGUCGAACGAGACCUUCGGGUUUAGUGGCGCACGGGUGCGUGACGCGUGGGAACCUGCCCUUAGGUUCGGAAUAACUCCCCGAAAGGGGUGCUAAUACCGGAGAAUGUCUUCGGACCAAAGAUUUAUCGCCUUUGGAUGGGCCCGCGUUGGAUUAGCUAGUUGGUAGGGUAAAAGCCUACCAAGGCGACGAUCCAUAGCUGGUCUGAGAGGAUGAUCAGCCACACUGGGACUGAGACACGGCCCAGACUCCUACGGGAGGCAGCAGUGGGGAAUAUUGGACAAUGGGCGAAAGCCUGAUCCAGCAAUGCCGCGUGAGUGAUGAAGGCCUUAGGGUUGUAAAGCUCUUUUACCCGGGAUGAUAAUGACGGUACCGGGAGAAUAAGCUCCGGCUAACUCCGUG